rfam:Virgibacillus massiliensis genome assembly, contig: 000002
GCAGGAGAGGUUCGAAAUUCCAUCCCUCUAUAAAAAACUAAGGAGAU